rnacentral:rRNA from 1 species
GCAGUCGAAUGCGAAAGUAGCAAUAUUAGUAGCAUGGCGAAAGGGAUAGUAAUGCAUGGGCAAUCUACCCUCGACUCCGGGAUAUGCGGUAGAAAUGCCGAGUAAUACUGGACGCCGUUAGAUGGGGACAUCCCUGACUAACGAAAGGUCCGCCGGUCGAGGAGGAGCUCAUGUCCUAUCAGCUAGUUGGUGAGGUAACGGCUCACCAAGGCGACGACGGGUAGCGGGUGUGAGAGCACGACCCGCAUCACUGGCACUGAGACACUGGCCAGACUCCUACGGGAGGCUGCAGUCGAGAAUCUUCGUCAAUGGGGGAAACCCUGAACGAGCGACGCCGCGUGGAGGAUGAAGGCCUUCGGGUUGUAAACUCCUGUUGGGAGGGAACAAAUUUUGAGUGACCUCCUGAGGAAGCACGGGCUAAGUUCGUGCCAGCAGCCGCGGUAAGACGAACCGUGCGAACGUUAUUCGGAAUCAUUGGGCUUAAAGGGCGCGUAGGCGGCGGUGUAAGUUGGAAGUGAAAUCCCAUCGGGCUCAACCGUGGAAUUGCUCCCAGUACUGCACUGCUCGAGGGGGAUAGGGGUCUGCGGAACUACCGGUGGAGCGGUGAAAUGUGUUGAUAUCGGGUGGGAACGCCAGUGGCGAAGGCGGCAGACUAGACCCUUCCUGACGCUGAUGCGCGAAAGCUAGGGGAGCAAACGGGAUUAGAUACCCCGGUAGUCCUAGCCUUAAACGUUGGGUACUGAGUAGAAAGGGGAACCGAUACCCCCUUCUGCUGGAGCGAAAGUGUUAAGUACCCCGCCGGGGGAGUAUGGUCGCAGGCUGAAACU